AUGAUACAAAGGUUCUUCUUGAACAGAGAGGGUUGUCUUGAGAUCAGGAGAAAUGGUAACCUCUGAGAUUAUGUCUAGUAUAUUUAGACAAUUAUUUGCUCUAUUUUGUUGCUUAUAUUAUAAAAUAUCUAGGUGCAUCCUAAUAUUUUGUUACACAAAAUUGGAGUUCAACAAUAAUGUCCUUUGGAUGGAGAUUGAUGAUAAUUGGGAGUUUGAAAAUCUUAUGAGAGAAAAAACAAAAAUCUGCUACUUUGUAAGCCCCGUAUUUGUGUAUUGUGGAGAGGCCAUCAUGGAGUGGUUCGGAGUUGGGAGAAGCUCGCUAGUUGGUAUAACCCUAGAAGGCAAAAAGUUGUUGACCUUACUUUCUAAUGCACUGUCUAAAAAGUGAUUUACUUAAGCACUACGUACUUAUAAAUUGUAAAAAUGCAGAUAGAAAGCUCUGUGCAAUCUGUCCUAAUGCUCUCUCUAUGUCUCUGUUUUGUAGGUACUCAAGUGCUUAUGAAACAACUCAGGCUUUGCAAUCUCAAGACCAGAGAGGCUUGUUAGAGUGUGCACACCUCCUGACAGUUGCCAGUUGAUGAUUACUGCUAAACCGUUUUGUGGUCAAAUCACAUGAAGAGAAAAAAAAAAAAAAAACUCUGCUAAGAUGUUUGGCAAUCAAAAAAAUUAUAUUGGAAGAAGCUUCAUGGAUUUUCUCACCUUGUCCUCUUGAUUGCAAGUCAUAUAUUGGAAGACUAGGAGUGAUUGUGGAAGACACUUUUGACUUGCUUAAGCAGGGGAUGUAAGUGAUUUUUCUGUUCAUAACAAGGUAUUUACCGAGUCGUUUUGCCAUCCCCUUUCGUUGUAUUAAUACAAAAAUUAUUUUUAGGUGGGUUUGGGCUUAUGCUCAUAAACUUCAACCCAAGAAGAAAAAAGCCCACAAAUCUCCCUUGUCAGACAUUGUUUGACAGUAAUUUACUUUUAUAUCACUCUGAAGUUGUAAAUGGUCAAAAGAUCAAAAGAUUCGUAUCAAAUUACUCAUUUCAAGGUUGAUUUUGACUCUUGAGUUAAAUAGCUUUAUCUAUGUAAAAUGAGGUAUAAGCAUAUUAUGAUACAUCAUUAUAUACUGGAUAGAAAUUUUGUUUUUAAUUUUUACAUGGCAAAUUUUUUGUUAAUGACUCGAAUUUAGCAACAGUUUAAGUUGGGCUGAUCAGGCCUCUACCUAUUUUGUAGACCAUUUGAAACCUUCGUAUGGUCCUAAUUUCCUUUUGUAAUUUUUUUUUUUAAAAAAAAAUCUAGGAAAACUUUAUGGACAUAUUAUCCAUUUUCACACCCAAAUCCCACAACAUACUAGUAUCAGCUUGUGAUUGGUGCGCCCAAAUCCAUUUUUUCACCAAGUUCCGUGAUAGUCUCAUGCCAUGUAUUAGUGUUGUAAUCUAAUCAUAAGUUAACAACCUAGCAAGUUGUGAAAAUUAGUGCAAACUUGGGUGUGUCCGUAUGUGGAAGUUUUUCCGUAUGAUUGGGUUGGUUUUUCACAAGGAAAAUGCUAAAACUAAAAUAUAUUUUACAAACUACUAAUGAGAUAAGUGGUUAUUAGGCAGUAAAAAAGUAAUGUCAAUGGUAGGCCUAGAUGAGAAUCAGUAAAAAUUUGUUACAUUAAUAAUUUGUAACAAUAUCAUAAAAAAGUUUGUGUUUAUAACAUUACUCAUUUCACAAUAUGGCUAAUAAAUAGAUUUCAAUUAAAUAAUGAAGGAUCCAGUUAAUUGGUGCCCUUAGGGCAUUUGUUAAUGAAAAAUUUUAUGAAAGUUUUAAUACCACUUUGACGGGAAAUAUAAAAUGCUGUAAAAAAAUUAAUUUUUUUUUUCUCAUAACAAAUUUCUAAAAUAUUUUCUAAACCAAUGCACUUAGAACAUCCAUUAACUUUGCCCAAUAAAUACCUCAGUGAAGACUAAUGGCAGGUCACUAGUUGGUACGCUAUUUUUAGACUAUAAUUCAUUCAUAAGUGUGUGUAAUAAGAUUUAUCUACUGCGGUAGGCUUCAGUUAGUUCAAUUGGUAAAAUCUUUAAUGGUUGAAUAAGAGAUCUGGGAUUCAAUUCAUGCCUACACCAAAAACCGAUUAGUGUCUUGGUUAAUGAUAAAGAACUAUCAUCAAAAGCAAACAUUAUAAGUUAAAACUCUCAAAAAAAAAAAAAUUUAUCUACUACGGUUGUUUAAUUCAUUUCAACUUGUUUCAUUCAUUUCAACUUGUUUCAUCCUAGAGGACGUGUCAAUAACCUCUUAAGUUGAAAAUUUCAUUAAGGGUGCACAAAUCUUUUGAAAAAAUGACCUAGGCAGCAUCUAAAUAUUUGUCACCACCUUUAAGCAACUUUUUGGUAAAAAUUCUAAUUAUUAUUUACUCAUUUGAAAACAAGUUAAUUAAUAAUAUGUUUCUAAAAAAAAAAAGUUACUUAAUUAUAUUAGUUAAUUAUUUGAUGUAUAAUUAAUUUCUAAUUUCUUUUACAAUUGGAAUUAUCAUAAGAAACUUAUCAAUGUUUUUAAAAUUUGUGUUUACUAUAUUAUUGUUAGGCAUAAAUGAAUUUCGAUAUGAAAUUUGAGAAAAUUAUUAGAUUCUUUCUUCCAAAUAAACAUUCUUUGGUAUAAUGAAAACUCCAUUUAUUGAUGCUAAUGGCUGCCCUUGUCCAUUGUUUAAAUGAUAAAAGGAUUUUAUUUUAUUUUAUUUUUUUAUGAACGUAUAUUAGGGAAACUUCUAAUAUUGACUAGUUUGAAAAGCCAACCACGUUAAGUUCAUAUAAGAAUUAAAAGAUAUUAUAAAUGCUGAUGAGAAGAGAAAAUGUUGAUAAAGAAAUAACUUCGCAAGAUGAUGAACAUUGUUGUAACAUUGACUUUGUUUUAUUUUUUUGAGGGAAAAUUAUAACAUUGAUUUCAAUGAAAUUGAUUAGACAAGAUGAUGAAUAAGAUGAAAAAGACCAUUAUUUUGGUUCAUUAUUAUGUUUUAUUACUUUUGAGUUUAAUCAAUUUGAAUAUGUAUGUCAUAAAUACAUAUUAAUUUGAUUUAUUUAGUUAGUUUUAUUAAAUAUUACUUUAUUAUAUAAGAAAUAAUUAAAUCAAUCUUUUUUUUUUUGAUAUCCAUAAUUAAAUCAAUCUUAGUUAAAUAUAUUUCAACAUCACACUAAAAAUAAUUUUUAUAUGUGUGUUUAUAAUUUUUUAUAAAUUUUAUGGUGUAUACAGGUAUUCAAAAUUUCAAAUGGUUUGAAAACUCAUCUUUUUCAAAGUUGCAGUCUACUCAAUCCUAGCUAAAAUGGUCAAGUACUACUAUUUAGCAAAAUAUGUAGAGAUCUAUUACUGUUUGCAAAAUAAUUAAGAAUUUAUCACUUUUUUAAAACUUGAGUUUCACAAAUCCGAGUUUCAUGAAAAAUAGCCAUCAAUUUUUUAUACAACUCGAGUUCUAUAAAAAAUAAUAUGGCAAAUUUAAAUGCUAUUUUUUCAAAGAACUCAAGUUCCUAAAAUUCGAGUUACAUGACAAGCAAUUCUAAAAAAUUUGUACAUCCAUAUAUAUUUUCAAAAUAAUAACAGGCCUCUACAUAUUUUGCCAAAUAAUAAUAUUGGCCCUUUUGCCCUCCUUCCUUUCAUUCUUCCUACAUUUAACAUUUAUCAACAUACUUUAACGAACAUGAAAAGACAAAAACCCCAUAAGCUAGGCACCUAGAAAGAGAAAAACCCCAUCAAGCUCAUUAACAGGAAGACAAAUGCAGUCAUAACCAUUAAUUUGGUUAAACAUUGACAGUUUGUUCAGUUUUUCUGUUAUGGAGUGGUGCAGGAGCACGAUAUAGCAGUCCACGGAGAGUAUGUCUCUCAAAGCAGCCAAACGGCAGCCACAGCCACAAUUCAAAGGUACCAAACACUCUCUCUCACUCUAAAUCAUAACACACACACACACACACACAUGUUUGGACUUUUGGCUUGACUCAUCCUUUUGUGUAUUGGAAGCAUAACUGAAAGGAACUAUGGUUGGAAUGAUAUUCUGUUUUGUUUUUUUGAUGAAAACCUGAUUCUGUGUACCACAUAUAAUUGAAUAUUUUCCCCCUCUCCUUCAUUUUCUAUCAGUUUUCUCGAGAAUUAGACAAGGUGUUAGUAUGUAUAAUUUGAGCUCGAAUUUUAUAGUAGUUUCUCUUUAAUAUCUUCAUUUUGACAGCUGAUUUAGGUUUGAAUUUUUAUUUUGCAAUUAUAGAAUUCUUAAUUUAGCUAUAGAUAAGCAAAAAGUGCAGAAACUCUGUUAAUGAAACUCUGGGUUUUCAUUUUCUGAGAGACCCCCAAUGAUCUUUUAAUAUCUAGGAUUUAAAAUCAUCCACCUUUCUCUUUAGCUUUCUAAGCAGCUAAAAAAAUGGGUAACUCUACUACAGAAUAAUAUAUGUAUUAAGAUAUCCGAGUAACUCUACUGCAGAGUUCCUAAAAUCUUAUCCAUUCAUUUUUAAAGGAGUGGAUUAUAUUUUAUGAAGUAUCAACGUUUUAUAAAAUAUUGACUAUCACCAUUUUGGUAUCUGUUGAAAUUAUUGAUGAUGUGCCAUAAGCAAUUCACUCAUUCCAAAACAAAUAGAUAAGAUUUUAGGAAUUCCAUGAUGAAGUUAGCCUAAAAACUUUGGAGGAUCCUAAUUCUUUGGUAUAAUCAGUGUGUUUGCUAUAAGUGUUCAUUAGUUUGAGUUUGAAUUGUUGAACGAAUCGAAACGAGAAUGCAAUCUUAUUAAUGGGUUUCAGAUACUUCUGGUGAAUUAAAAUUUUCCACCUCUAUAGCUAAGGACUAGGUUGGAAGCGUAGCAUGGGAAGGGACCUUAUCACUAGAAUGAUAGUCUCAAUGUUUUAGGGGGAAGAAAUGGGCACCCAAACACCUGCAAGUAGCAAUCGUACAAGGACAAAUUGGACACCGGCAAUGGAGUGCUAUUUUAUUGAUCUUUUGUUAGAUCAAGUGCAUAGGGGGAAUAGGAUGGGCCAUACAUUAAAAAAAAAAAAAAAAAAGCUUGGACUGAUAUGCUGACCGUUCAAUGCCAUUUUGGAUCCCCAUAUGAUAAAAGGUCUUGAAAAGUCACUACUCUAAUUUGUGGACUCAAUUCAAUGAUGUAAAGAGUCUACUUGGUCAGAAUGGAUUUUCAUGGGAUGAUACUAAACAAAGGGUGGUUGCCAGUCAUCAUGUUUGGGAUGCUUACAUCAAGGUGCUUUUUUUUUGUUAAUGUUUUGUUUUGAUCUAUACCUUUGGUGUCAUAGUGAGUGGUGACUUGACAUUAUAUACAUGCAGGUUCACCCAGAGGCACAGUUAUAUAGAAACAAAGCCUUGAUGAACUUCAAUGAUUUGUGCUUGAUAUAUGCACAUACAACCGCAGAUGGAAGAUACUGUCUAUCAAGUCAUGAUAUAGACAUUGAUGAUGACAUUCAAGGAGUGAAUACUGGUGUGCUUUUAUAUCCUGUCAUGGAUCAGCAGAAAUGAUGCAUAUGCCAUUGGCAUUGGAAUGCAUUUUAUUGGGGUUUUUUUGCUUAAAUUAUUGUUUUGAAUUGUGAUUGAUUUGGUAAUACUAUCUAAUUCGUUAUUAUUACUAUUAUUUUAUUCUAGAGAGUAUGCAUAAAACAAGAGAGUGCUAUAAGCAACAACCCUCUCCCCCUUUUUCUCAUGAGUCUAUCCAGAGAUAGAUGGCACUCUAUGAACCCUAGAAUUUAAUAAAUUUUGAAGCAAAAAUGGCCUUUUAUUGUCUUUGAAAUUUUUACACUGCAAUCUCUCUUUUAGCCAAUCUUUGGGCAGUGAACCAUGGUCUGCUUUCCACAAGAAUCAGUAAUGUGCUUACUGCUGAUUCUGAGCUUAGUCAAUUACGACCGAAGUAGUACCUAAUGAUAGGACUUGUAGACUUGCAAUUGCUGUUGGUUUGCAAACCUUUCUGUAUUCUGGGAGAAAUAAACACCUUUAUUCCCAUCCACAUAAAAGAGGAAAAGAUGUUGCAGAGAAAUGAGCACAUCGUGCUUGGCUUUGUGAACACUUGAUUGAACUGGUCCUGAUGGUAUAUUUUUUGGGAAGCGAUUGUAAUUUAUUUCAUAUCUUACUUCAUUUGGUAGCUAGGAACUGGAUGCAGUAAGAUUGAUUGAAAUUACAUAUGUUCUAUGUUAGCUUAUAGUACCGUGUAUUCCAAGAAGUGUAAUCUAUUUUUUAUGAAUAAAAACUACUUUUACUGAUUAGGUAUUGCAAUGAAUAGCCUUGUAGCGACAAGUAAAGAGCAUUCAAGAACAGAUUGGACAUGGAACGAUAUUUUGUCAAGCUUUUGCUAGACCAACUUAAAAAGGGCAAUAAGAUCUGUAAUACAUUCAAGAAACGAGCAUGGAAUGAUAUGCUCACGCUGUUCAAUGGAAAAUUUGGCUCUAAAUAUGAAAAGAGUUUCUUUAAACUCCGUUAUAAGAAAUUAUUGAAAUAUUAUACUGAUGUGAAGAAUCUACUUCAGGUUAAGGGAUUUUCUUGGGAUGAAAUUCAACAAAAGAUAUAGCAGAAGAUUGUGUAAGGGAUAAUUACAUCAAAGUACACUAUCAUAUCUAUUUGGUUAUUGGUAUUCAUUUUUACUGUAUUUUCAUGCAUACAAUUGCUGAUGUAGGCACACCUAGAUGCACAUUCGUAUCGUAGGAAGACCUUGCUAAACUAUGGAGAUUUGAAAUUGAUAUCUGGAAAUGCAAUCACAACGGACAUUGCAGUCAAUUAUGGCAAGGGAGAAACUUUGAAGAUGAUAUAAUACAGAUCAAGACGGGUGAGGUUCAUUUCUUGAAUGUGUAGGAGGACCUUUAUAGGGAAUCAGGAUUCUUGAGGACACUCCUCUUCAAUUUAUUAAUAUAGUCCUGUUUAGUUAUCGAAAUGAAAAUGUUGGUUUCCUCUUUAUACAUGCAACUUGGGAUUUAUUGAUCGUCACAAUUAGGACUUUGGUUAAUAUUAAGGUGUCCCGUAGGUCUUUAACCUUCACAAAAUGGAAUUUUAUCAGAUAUGUUUAAUUACAGAGAUUCGUAUACUGUAUGACAGUUUUUUUUUUCUUGAGGUUUGCUAUCCUUAAAUGGAAGUUCGAUUUAUAGGUUCUAGUCUUUUCAUUACAUGCCUGUAGGCAUGCCCAGUUCAUUAAGAUCCAUGAGAUUUUAAUUCAUUUUAAUAAUUUCUUUAAAUUUUCUCUAAGGGUUGGGACAGAUUUACUGGGCUGUGGGUAUUGUUCUGUAGUCUGUACCCAUCUUAUUGCUAUCUGAUUAUGUUGUUAAAUUAUAUGAAUUACUGUUUGUCAAUGAUGGCAAGUAUAAUGUGCUUCUAGCAUAAUUUAUGUUUAAAAGUCUGAAAUGUUUUUUUGAAUGAAAAGUUAUCUAUUACCCUCAUAAAUCAGUCAAUUUUACCUUUCUUGUAGCUGAAGAAAAGGAGGGCCGUACCUCUUCUGAUAGUGAAUGUCUGGGAACAAAUUGGACAUCAACAAUGGAUCGUUGCCUCAUUGAAUUGUUACAAGACCAGAUGCUUAGAGAGAAUAAAAUUGGUCAUGGAUUGGUGGCUGAGGCAUGGAUUGAAAUGGUUAGACUGUUCAAUGCAAAAUUUGGAUCUCACCAUUACAAAGAUGGUCUAAGGAAUAGAUACAAAGUAGUACUGAGUGAGAUGCAACAAUGUGAAUAUAAGCAUUAA
rnacentral:sRNA from 1 species